GAUGAAGAACGUAGCGAAAUGCGAUACUUGGUGUGAAUUGCAGAAUCCCGUGAACCAUCGAGUCUUUGAACGCAAGUUGCGCCCGAAGCCAUUAGGCCGAGGGCACGCCUGCCUGGGCGUCACACGUCGUUGCCCCCCCAUCUACUCCUUCGGGAUUGCGGGGGGCGGAUGAUGGCCUCCCGUGCGCCUCGUCGCGCGGUUGGCAUAAAUGCCAAGUCCUCGGCGACGCACGCCACGACAAUCGGUGGUUGCGAAACCUCGGUUGCCCGUCGUGUGCGGUCGUCGCGCAUCGAGGGCUCGAAAAAAUUGCCGGGCUCCGGCUCGGGUUUCAACGCGACCCCAGGUCAGGCGGGGUUACCCGCUGAAUUUAAGCAUAUCAAUAAGCGGAGGA
rnacentral:misc_RNA from 1 species